CUGACUGCUAUUGGAGUAGGACUAAGUCACGCUAGUCAAAGGUACAGAAUGGAGUACCUGGCGCACGGCUCAGUAACACGUAAUGAAUCUACCCUAAGGACGAGAACAACCACGGGAAACUGUGGCUAAUUCUCGAUAGGAAAUUUGGCCUGGAACGGUAUCUUUCCCAAAACCGGCUCGCCGUGAGACACGGGCCUUAGGAUGGCGUUGCGGCCGAUUAUGCUAGACGGCGGUGUAAAGGACCACCGUGGCGUCGAUCGGUAUGGGCGAUGGAAGUCGGAGCCCAGAGUCGGCUACUGAGACAAGGAGCCGAGCCUUACGAGGCUUAGCGGUCGCGAAAACUCGCCAAUGCACGAAAGUGUGAGUGGGCUACUCCAAGUGUCAUUCUUACGGAUGACUGUCGCUCAGUCUUACAAGCUGAGAAAGGAAGGAGAGGGCAAGGCUGGUGCCAGCCGCCGCGGUAAAACCAGCUCUUCGAGUGGUCAGGACGAAUAUUGGGUCUAAAGCGUUCGUAGCGGGACAAGUAGGUUCCUGGUUAAAUCCGACGUCACAAGCGUUGGGCUGCUGGGAAUACCGCUAGUCUUGAGAGCGGGAUAGGACAGGGGUAGUCUAUGGGCAGGGGUGAAAUCCAGUGAUCCAUAGGCGACCACCGAUGGCGAAGGCA
rnacentral:rRNA from 1 species